ensembl:lncRNA
GGGAGGUAAACAGACUGGAAAUCUAAGGUCUUUAGAGAGAGUUACAUUGUCAAGUCUGGCUGACAACGACCUUUGAUUACUCCAACCUAAGGCGAUGCCCAAGUUCUAACUGCUAACAUAGUAUAACAUAGUAGAAAAGAGAAGCCCUCUGCCAUGUCCACCUUAGAGGGGUCUUGAGAGGACAAUGGCCCAGGGAAAGCCUCCCACCGUGACUGGCUACCCAAGGAAUGUGCACACUGCCGCAAGAAGAUGCUAGGGACCACACGCCCGUGAUAGCAGCGCGGCUUUCCAGUUUUAUUGUUUUCCCAAUGGAAGGAGUAUGUUUUUGUUUGCUUGAUUUACUUUUUGCAACUCUCAUAUUUUUUCUCCAUAUGUGCGUUGAGACAUAGAUAGCUUAUCAUUUAACAAAUCAAGGCCUGAGACAUCAGCAGAUUCAUCAGCUUUGGAUGAAGAGAAUUUGGAGCCCUGAAAGAUGCUGGACUAGGAGCUGUAAGAAGCACCUGGGUGAAAUCUCAUACCUUGCUCUAGACAUGAGGGCAUCUUCCCAACCCAGGGAUUUGACCUGGGUCUCCUGAGAGACAUGUGUAUUAAUUACUCUGAUCAGCUUUGACAUGCAAAUGUGACAGAAUCGAAUAUUAAGAAAGAUCAGAGGCAGAUGGAAGAUUUUAGUCCAUCACGUCCAAUUCGCCCACUUAACUGCUGAGGAAGUUGAAGCCAAAAGAGAAGACAAGACCCACAGCCAGUUUCUCUCUCAUCCUCCAAAAGAGCUAAAGAACCAGCUUCCCAAUCAGGAAAUCUCGCCUGCAACAGAUGAGAGGCGGUGGAGAUUCUGGUUCAGCCCUCUCUACCCUGACCUGGAACCCCACCACAGAGCACCCACCCCACCUACACGUGUCCCUGACAUGCAUCCUGCCCAGAGAGUUUCCUACCUAGAAACUACGGAUGGCUUUACUGCGCCGUGUCUCUUUUUAUGCCUACAUCUGUGUCAUCUCAGACUGGAAGCUCCCUAACAAGAUAUGUAUUAAAAAUAGAUAACCUUAACAAUAAUAAUAAUACAUUGAGAAUGUACUCUGUUCCCGGCUCUGCGCCAAGCAUGUUCUGGGCACUGUGACCCCAGGUCUGCUGUCGGCCGACCUGGCCUCCUCAAGCUCCUCCCACCCUGCCCACCUGAGCCACCUGGG